GCAGAUAGCACGGGUGCUGUGUUAGCUGUGACCGUUACCAGGACACACGGUCACUCCCUCCACAGUCUGGCUCACUGUGCAUCAGGUCUGCUGUUCCCUGCAUCUGCCUCACGCCCCUGCUGUGCUGUAUGAUCAUAAAUCCUGACUGACCCUGAGCCCAGGGUCUUAGCCAGGACAGAGUGAAGGGAUCGAAUUCAGGACCUUGCGCUUUCGAGGCAGGCGGCAGAACCACUGAGAUAAAUCCUUGGCCCUUGAAUACCAAAUUUUUAUGUCACCAAAUGCAAACGAUCCUGAGAAUAAGGAAGCCCGUAAGUGAAGCCACUUGGAGGACUAUUAAAGGAACUUUAAUAACCGUGAGUUUUUAAAGUGGAAAAGCUCAGAAGAUUUUAAAAGAUCCACAGACCACAGGCUGAAAUACUGCUGCUGCAUCAGGGCUUCCUGGCUUAUCAUUCGAGUGGAGGAAGUCCUUACCCACGGAAACAUGGACCCAGCUCUUUCAGGAAAUUAGAAAGCAGGCACAGCAUGGCUGGACAGUGUGUACUCAGACACAACUCGAUGCAUAAGGCCAAACGGGUGAGGCAGGUGUCCCUAGCAGCCAGCACCAGUCCUGGCCAGGCAGGGGGUCCCAGGAUACGGGAGGCUGCACAGCUGGUGCAGUGGCCAGGGCCCCACCUCUGGGGUCUUCGCGCACCUGCCAUUCUUUUGGCGUUCUCAGUGGCCCCUGGUCUUUCCUGGUGGGAUGUGCUGGUGCCCUUCACCGCUGCCCGGCUCAGCACCUACCUCACCACCAUUGUGUCUGUGCAGCUCUUCCAGGACUGGGAGCAGCGGCUGGCUGCUGUGCUGUGCCUCCUCUGGGUCCUCACCGUCUUAGCCUCCACUUUGUCUUUGAGAGGCUGCUGUGCUAGAAGCUGGUGGAGCAAACUCAGCACUCUGGCUCACCCUGAUCACUGUCUUCAUGAUCGAGCCUCUGGCAGGGCCGGAGGGGAGCGCUGCACAGUGGGAGUGCCGGUCCUGACUGGGGCUGCUUGAGCCACACCAGAGGAGGUCUUGGCCUGAAGGCAGCACCUGCUUGUGCCCGGCUGGGUACCCAGUUUCCUCCCAGUCACAUCUGAGAUUUUUCCUCAUCAGGCUAAGAAGAGCAGCCUUGAUCCCUGAAAUGUAUUUCCUGUUAUUCAUGCCUUGAGUAGCUAAUCCUGACUGAGAUCCUGAGCAGGGCCCCGGGGCAGAGGAAACUUAAGUCAAGGGUCCUGCUGGGCUCUAAGUAUUCUCCACAGUGGGGAUGGACUCCUCUCCAAAAGCAGCAAACUGGGCUUGGGGACUUUGUCCGGCCAGCAGCACUGACCCAAGAGCUCACUGGUCCCGUCCAUGCAGGUCACACUUCCUUAGACAGCUGAGCUCUGAGAGUGCAAGAGAGCUUGCAUUUCCCGCCCUGCAUUACAGGAGAGAGAAGCCCUUCUUCAGACAGAAGAAUGUUGCUAAGAACCUAACUGGGACCCUCUCCAGAUACCCGCCACCUGGGAAUACCUGCUGCCAAAGCACUGCAGGGCUUUCUGCCACAGCCGGCUGCAGCCUCAUGGACUCUUCCACCACCUUGUGGCCGGCACCAUCAGCGCACCUGAGACAGACUUCAGGCUCCCUAAGCAACCAAAGAUAGAAACAGUGGUCUGGUGAUGGUGGGCAUGGAGAGACCUGCAGAUGGGAGCUUGUUUCUAUCUUUGGUUUCUUUGCCUAAAGUCUUUGGUUUGAUGUGUCAGGUGCCAAAUGACAUUUGCUGAGAUGAAAAUAAAAGUGCUUUUUUGGAGAAAAAAA
ensembl:lncRNA